rnacentral:rRNA from 1 species
CCUACGGGAGGCAGCAGUGAGGAAUAUUGGUCAAUGGUCGGGAGACUGAACCAGCCAAGCCGCGUGAGGGAUGAAGGUACAGAGUAUCGUAAACCUCUUUUGUCAGGGAACAAAGGCGGGGACGUGUCCCCGGAUGAGUGUACCUGAAGAAAAAGCAUCGGCUAACUCCGUGCCAGCAGCCGCGGUAAUACGGAGGAUGCGAGCGUUAUCCGGAUUUAUUGGGUUUAAGGGGUGCGCAGGCGGUCUGUUAAGUCAGCGGUCAAAGCCCGGGGCUCAACCCCGGCCCGCCGUUGAAACUGGCAGUCUAGAGUUGGAGAGAAGUAUGCGGAAUGCGCGGUGUAGCGGUGAAAUGCAUAGAUAUCGCGCAGAACUCCGAUUGCGAAGGCAGCAUGCCGGCUCCACACUGACGCUGAGGCACGAAAGCGUGGGUAUCGAACAGGAUUAGGUACCCUAGUAGUC